rnacentral:rRNA from 1 species
UGCCAGCCGCCGCGGUAAUACGAAGGGACCUGGCGUAGUUCGGAAUUACUGGGCUUAAAGAGUUCGUAGGUGGUUAAAAAAGUUGGUGGUGGAAUCCCAAGGCUCAACCUUGGAACUGCCAUCAAAACUUUUUAGCCAGAGUAUGAUAGAGGAAAGUGGAAUUUCUAGUGUAGAGGUGAAAUUCGUAGAUAUUAGAAAGAACAUCAAAUGCGAAGGCAACUUUCUGGAUCACUACUGACACUGAGGAACGAAAGCAUGGGUAGCGAAGAGGAUUAGAUA